UGAGGAAUAUUGGUCAAUGGGUGCAAGCCUGAACCAGCCAUCCCGCGUGAAGGACGACUGCCCUAUGGGUUGUAAACUUCUUUUGUAUAGGGAUAAACCUACCCUCGUGAGGGUAGCUGAAGGUACUAUACGAAUAAGCACCGGCUAACUCCGUGCCAGCAGCCGCGGUAAUACGGAGGGUGCAAGCGUUAUCCGGAUUUAUUGGGUUUAAAGGGUCCGUAGGCGGACUUAUAAGUCAGUGGUGAAAGCCUGUCGCUUAACGAUAGAACUGCCAUUGAUACUGUAAGUCUUGAGUAUAUUUGAGGUAGCUGGAAUAAGUAGUGUAGCGGUGAAAUGCAUAGAUAUUACUUAGAACACCAAUUGCGAAGGCAGGUUACCAAGAUAUAACUGACGCUGAGGGACGAAAGCGUGGGGAGCGAAC
rnacentral:rRNA from 1 species